UACGUAGGGUCCGAGCGUUGUCCGGAAUUAUUGGGCGUAAAGGGCUCGUAGGCGGUUUGUCGCGUCGGGAGUGAAAACACGGGGCUUAACCCCGUGCCUGCUUCCGAUACGGGCAGACUAGAGGUAUGCAGGGGAGAACGGAAUUCCUGGUGUAGCGGUGAAAUGCGCAGAUAUCAGGAGGAACACCGGUGGCGAAGGCGAGUCCCUGGACAACUCCUGACACUGAGGCACGAAAGCUAGGGGAGCAAACAGG
rnacentral:rRNA from 1 species